rnacentral:rRNA from 1 species
UACGGGGGGGAGCAAGCGUUGUUCGGAUUUACUGGGCGUAAAGGGCGCGUAGGCGGCCAGCGCAAGUCAGUUGUGAAAUCUCCGGGCUUAACUCGGAAAGGUCAACUGAUACUGCGCGGCUAGAGUGCGGAAGGGGCAACUGGAAUUUACGGUGUAGCGGUGAAAUGCGUAGAUAUCGUAAGGAAGACCAGUGGCGAAGGCGGGUCUCUGGACAGUUCCUGACGCUGAGGCACGAAGGCCAGGGGAGCAAACGGG